rnacentral:rRNA from 1 species
CGGUGAACACGGAGCUUGCUCUGUGGGAUCAGUGGCGAACGGGUGAGUAACACGUGAGCAACCUGCCCCUGACUCUGGGAUAAGCGCUGGAAACGGCGUCUAAUACUGGAUAUGUGACGUGACCGCAUGGUCUGCGUUUGGAAAGAUUUUUCGGUUGGGGAUGGGCUCGCGGCCUAUCAGCUUGUUGGUGAGGUAAUGGCUCACCAAGGCGUCGACGGGUAGCCGGCCUGAGAGGGUGACCGGCCACACUGGGACUGAGACACGGCCCAGACUCCUACGGGAGGCAGCAGUGGGGAAUAUUGCACAAUGGGCGCAAGCCUGAUGCAGCAACGCCGCGUGAGGGAUGACGGCCUUCGGGUUGUAAACCUCUUUUAGCAGGGAAGAAGCGAAAGUGACGGUACCUGCAGAAAAAGCGCCGGCUAACUACGUGCCAGCAGCCGCGGUAAUACGUAGGGCGCAAGCGUUAUCCGGAAUUAUUGGGCGUAAAGAGCUCGUAGGCGGUUUGUCGCGUCUGCUGUGAAAUCCCGAGGCUCAACCUCGGGCCUGCAGUGGGUACGGGCAGACUAGAGUGCGGUAGGGGAGAUUGGAAUUCCUGGUGUAGCGGUGGAAUGCGCAGAUAUCAGGAGGAACACCGAUGGCGAAGGCAGAUCUCUGGGCCGUAACUGACGCUGAGGAGCGAAAGGGUGGGGAGCAAACAGGCUUAGAUACCCUGGUAGUCCACCCCGUAAACGUUGGGAACUAGUUGUGGGGUCCAUUCCACGGAUUCCGUGACGCAGCUAAC